AGGAUGAACGCUGGCGGCGUGCCUAAUACAUGCAAGUCGAACGAGGUCUUCGGACCGAGUGGCGAACGGGUGAGUAACACGUUGGUACCUACCCCGAAGUGGGGAAUAACUGCCCGAAAGGGUGGCUAAUACCGCAUAAUACCGCAAGGUUAAAGCAGUAAUGCGCUUCGGGAGGGGCCUGCGUCCCAUUAGCUAGUUGGUAGGGUAAUGGCCUACCAAGGCGACGAUGGGUAGCUGGAUCGAGAGGUUGACCAGCCACACUGGGACUGAGAUACGGCCCCAGACUCCUACGGGAGGCAGCAGUAAGGAAUCUUCCACAAUGGACGAAAGUCUGAUGGAGCAACGCCGCGUGCAGGAUGACGGCCUUCGGGUUGUAAACUGCUUUUAUAUGGGAAGAUUAUGACGGUACCAUAUGAAUAAGGACCGGCUAACUACGUGCCAGCCAGCCGC
rnacentral:rRNA from 1 species